UAGGGAAUCUUCCACAAUGGGACGAAAGUCUGAUGGAGCAACGCCGCGUGAGUGAAGAAGGGUUUCGGCUCGUAAAACUCUGUUGUUAAAGAAGAACAUAUCUGAGAGUAACUGUUCAGGUAUUGACGGUAUUUAACCAGAAAGCCACGGCUAACUACGUGUCAG
rnacentral:rRNA from 1 species